rnacentral:snRNA from 1 species
AUACUUUUCUGUUUACACAAAACAUUAAAUUAAGAAGGUCCAUGGCCUAGGUUGGUGACCUCCAUUGCACUCAGGAGGGGUGCCCGCCUAAGGUCGGCCCAAGUGGUCGAGCCUACGUCAUAAUUUGUGGCAGUGGGGGCUUGCGUUCGCGCAGCCCUUG